rnacentral:tRNA from 1 species
GGGUCCGUCGUCUAGCGGUUAGGACGCCGCCCUCACACGGCGGAGGGUUGGGUUCAACUCCCAACGGACCCA